UGGGGAAUUUUGGACAAUGGGGGAAACCCUGAUCCAGCCAUCCCGCGUGUGCGAUGAAGGCCUUCGGGUUGUAAAGCACUUUUGGCAGGAAAGAAACGUCAUGGGUUAAUACCCCGUGAAACUGACGGUACCUGCAGAAUAAGCACCGGCUAGCUACGUGCCAGCAGCCGCGGUAAUACGUAGGGUGCAAGCGUUAAUCGGAAUUACUGGGCGUAAAGCGUGCGCAGGCGGUUCGGAAAGAAAGAUGUGAAAUCCCAGAGCUCAACUUUGGAACUGCAUUUUUAACUACCGGGCUAGAGUGUGUCAGAGGGAGGUGGAAUUCCGCGUGUAGCAGUGAAAUGCGUAGAUAUGCGGAGGAACACCGAUGGCGAAGGCAGCCUCCUGGGAUAACACUGACGCUCAUGCACGAAAGCGUGGGGAGCAAACAGG
rnacentral:rRNA from 1 species